rnacentral:rRNA from 1 species
UAAGCGCACAGGGCCGCAUGGUCCGGUGUGAAAAACUCCGGUGGUAUAAGAUGGACCCGCGUUGGAUUAGCUAGUUGGCAGGGCAGCGGCCUACCAAGGCGACGAUCCAUAGCCGGCCUGAGAGGGUGAACGGCCACAUUGGGACUGAGACACGGCCCAGACUCCUACGGGAGGCAGCAGUGGGGAAUAUUGCACAAUGGGGGAAACCCUGAUGCAGCGACGCCGCGUGAAGGAAGAAGUAUCUCGGUAUGUAAACUUCUAUCAGCAGGGAAGAUAAUGACGGUACCUGACUAAGAAGCCCCGGCUAACUACGUGCCAGCAGCCGCGGUAAUACGUAGGGGGCAAGCGUUAUCCGGAUUUACUGGGUGUAAAGGGAGCGUAGACGGCGCAGCAAGUCUGAUGUGAAAGGCAGGGGCUUAACCCCUGGACUGCAUUGGAAACUGUUGAGCUUGAGUGCCGGAGGGGUAAGCGGAAUUCCUAGUGUAGCGGUGAAAUGCGUAGAUAUUAGGAGGACACCAGUGGCGAAGGCG